rnacentral:lncRNA from 1 species
GGAUUCCAAGCCCAGAUUUCAUCAUAAUAAAGAAUGUUUAAUUGUUAGAUGAAGGUUCAGUCGGUGAGGGGGAACACCAAGGUUUUGAUACAAAGGUAGCUCUCUGGCUCCUCACUGCCCAAUUCUUGAAUAGCCUCAGAAAAGUAGCCUGAUAAUUAGUAGUCACUGACUUUUAAUGAUCUGAUCUCAUUCUAAUGGCACAACCCCAAAAUCUCAGGCAAGACCAGCAAUUCUCACCUCUCUGUGUUCUUUUAAGUAUGGAAACAAGGGCUGAUGAGAUGGAAGCACUCCUGGAAGCCUGACAAGCUCCACACAGUCCUACAGCGUUCCACCAUGUAAAAUCAGGCCUUCAUUUUGAACUUGGAAAUCUCCCCACUCGCAGGCAGUGGCAAUGCCAGCAAGCCACAGGUGGGCACCACAUGAGCAGGUUGAAAGGUAGUGGAAAGUGGCUGAGUAAGACCCCGUCAGAUUCAGUGCAAGGUGAAGACUGGUCUUGAAACUUUGUAUCUUCCCUUCUUGAUUAGAAUGAAGGUAGAUGCCUUGACUCAGAAUUGGUGGCUGUUUUAAAAGCUGGCCUUGCUUUGGACCAUUGUUGGGACUGUCUUCUUCAGCAAACAGUGAUCAUGAAACCAAAUUCAGCUUUCUUCAGGAAAAGGACAAAAACUGGGGUGAGAUGAUUUGCUAGCGGUUACCAACUGAGUCGGGGCAGUGUAAAUAUUAAAACCUGCAGCCCUUAAGAUGUCCAGCUUAGUACAGUAUAGGACUCACACAACUCGGAUUCAGAAAAGUUGCCAAAACUUUUAAUGCUUUAAGAAAGAGGAUGAGUGACUUUUGGGUGUUUCAGACAUACAGCCUUUCUGAUUAGCUAUUUUAGAUGGCGUGUAAUAGACUUGAGUAGUAAGCUAUGUUGUAUUUAUUGUAUUAAUUCCAGUGGUAGGUAUACCUGGAAUUAAUACAUUGUAUUACCACUGGAAUUGUAUUACCACUGGAAUUAAUACAAUAAAUACAACAUAGCUUAGUACUUAAUAAAUUGUAUUAAUUCCAGGUAUACCACUGGAUCUACUAUGGAAAAGUGUUUGAGUGAUGCCCACCUAAUAUAGAAGAACUUGUCAUAGCUCUGAUGCAGCGACAAUUGACCACUUGCUUUUACAUAAACACUAGGAAGAAAGGCAUGGCAUCAAGUGUUUUGAGAGCUGAAUUACAUCAAUAUUUCCUUUUCAGAAAAUCUAAAAUUAUUUCAAUGCACAAAAGCUAGGAUGGUGCCUGGUCCAUGGUGGACAGUAACUGGUCUGUUUUGAAUGCAUGAAUUUUCAUCGUAGUUUUUGUGAUUGUGUUUAUGAAGACACUGGAGCAACAAUGUUCUGCAAUUCUAGAGAUCUUGAUGUGGUGGCAGCCUUGUAUCCAGUCCUAUGUAUGUACAUUUUGAUAUCUUACUGCCUUUUGCCAAAUAGGGCAAUAAACACCCCCCAAGAGCGCUAUCCAAUCAUAUACUCUGUAUUUGUUUCAGGUGAGCUUCCUGCAGGGCAACUUUGGCAUAUUCUCAGCAAACACAGAGUUGUUGGAUUUCACAUAAGGAGACUGUUAUCAUUUGGUCCUUGACAACUUUCAUAAACAGUCACUCUUAGCUUAACAAGCAAGUGUGUAACAGUUAAAAUUGGAAGAAAAAUAAGGCCAAAAUGGCAGCUUACUACACAACUUGCAUGCAUUCUAAAAUAAAGGAAAUAUGAAUAAAAGGUAACUUAUUCAGUGUCACUCGUACAUAUUUAUAGUUUAAAAAUUAGUCAAAGUUUAUGUCCUGAGGUUGUACCUACAGGAAGCCAGAUGUGCCUUCUGCACGUGACCUAAGACAGGCCUAGAGCAACUACUAGAUAAUUUCUCGCUCAUCCUCUACACCGUCGAUUGCGGCGGCUUUCUGAGGUGAGAGAAACUGACAGCACUAACUCUCCAGGGCAGAACUUUCCAGUCAAGUGGAUCAACG